GAGAAUGUCAAGAGCUUGUUGGUUGG
rnacentral:piRNA from 1 species